GGGAGGGCACAUUCUUUCCUAGAGUUUGGGAACCUCAAAAAACAAAGUCGGGGGAUCGCAAGUAACUCAAGGAUGCCGGGCCUCACAAGCAGUGAUUAUUGUUAAUCGAGCAACGGAAGACCCUCCCCAGGCUUGACAUCAACUAACGAAGCAGAGAUGCUUAGGUGCCUUCGAGAAAGUGAGACAGGUGGUGCAUGGUGUCGUCAGCUCGUGUCGUGAGAUGUGGGUUAAGUCCCGCAACGAGCGCAACCCUAUUGUUAGUGCUACGCAAGAGCACUCUAGCGAGACUGCCGUUGACAAAACGGAGGAAGGUGGGGACGACGUCAAAUCAUCAUGCCCCUUAUGAUUUGGGCUACACACGUGCUACAAUGGCGUAAACAAAGGGAGGCAGAGUCGUGAGGCCGAGCAAAUCCCAAAAAUAACGUCUCAGUUCGGAUUGUAGUCUGCAACUCGACUACAUGAAGCUGGAAUCGCUAGUAAUCGCGAAUCAGAACGUCGCGGUGAAUACGUUCCCGGGUCUUGUACACACCGCCCGUCACACCAUGGGAGUCGGUAACGCCCGAAGUCAGUGACCCAACCGCAAGGAGGGAGCUGCCGAAGGCGGGACUGAUAACUGGGGUGAAGUCGUAACAAGGUAGCCGUAUCGGAAGGUGC
rnacentral:rRNA from 1 species